AUAACAACAAUGCAAUCAGUUGCAUUCUGUGUAAUAAACCGAUCAUGACCUCUCUAAUGCCAUUAAAAAUGUGGCAGAGACUUUUAUAAAAGGAGCAACCAUAUUCCUCGCAGGUAAGAGUACAUGCAGAAGAAGAUCACAUAGGUGCCUGUAUGGAGGGAAAAGACUGUCCCUACACCUCUCUCAAUCAAUUUAAUAG